AGCCCGCUUGCGGCACCUCGGUGGCGGCCUCCACCUUCCUCGCGUUGCUGAAGGGUCUUGCACUAGCUUCCGGACCUUGAGAGGUCCCAAAGCAGGGAAACAUCAGGGGCCAGGGCUGCAAAUACCCUUGGGACCUUUGUCCAAGAGACAGGCUCUUCCCUUUCAGGAGUCUUAUGGCCUCUAGCCUGCUUUUAAACUGUUCUUUUUACCCCUGUUAUCCCCUCCUCCCGGCUCUCAACUCAGUACCUCUCUGGCCUUAAGGAGAGGAAACACGCAAGAUGAGGUACGCAAACGAGUGUUGGAUAACCAGAUGAGAAAACAGGUCAGAAAGGUAAACUGAGAAGCCUGUUUUGGAAGAGAAGUGCAAGUGUGUGAUAUCCAGGCACUGACCUCAAAAGCACUCCCUGAUAAGCUAUGUAUGUUAUCAUUACUGGGGAACUCAGCCUAUGAUGAAACCUAAAGCAAGAGGAGAGCUUUUUCUCAACCCUCUAGAAAUCCAAGCUUCUUUUUAAAUGUCUCUGGUCCAUAGAUAAUACAAUUGUGAGUGACUUCUGUUUACCUGGAGUCACCUCUUCAAGCAUUAACCUUGGUGCUCCACAUGAGA